rnacentral:rRNA from 1 species
AGCGAACGCUGGCGGCAGGCCUAACACAUGCAAGUCGAACGAACUCUUCGGAGUUAGUGGCGGACGGGUGAGUAACACGUGGGAACGUGCCUUUAGGUUCGGAAUAACUCAGGGAAACUUGUGCUAAUACCGAAUGUGCCCUUCGGGGGAAAGAUUUAUCGCCUUUAGAGCGGCCUACGUCUGAUUAGCUAGUUGGUGAGGUAAAGGCUCACCAAGGCGACGAUCAGUAGCUGGUCUGAGAGGAUGAUCAGCCACAUUGGGACUGAGACACGGCCCAAACUCCUACGGGAGGCAGCAGUGGGGAAUCUUGCGCAAUGGGCGAAAGCCUGACGCAGCCAUGCCGCGUGAAUGAUGAAGGUCUUAGGAUUGUAAAAUUCUUUCACCGGGGACGAUAAUGACGGUACCCGGAGAAGAAGCCCCGGCUAACUUCGUG